AAAAGAGUCCGAUCAUUUGUGAACAGUUAGAAAUUCAAUCAUUCCUUUUCAAUUUGCAUAGCUUUUGUUUCCUUCCUUGCCUAGAACGUCCAACACUGUGUGUAACAGAGACUGGAUGAAGAAUACCCACAGUUCCCAACCCUGCUUACAUGUAGCUAGAGGAGUCACGUGCCUAGAGAGAAGAACAUUGUUUAACAAGGGCUCUGGAGAAGAGGUAAUGACAGCUGUCAGCUUGAAGUUAUGGAAACAUUUUGAACAAGAGAGACAUAGAGACUGGUGAGGAGAGAGAUUGAUUCAGAAAUGUUGGAUGAAAUUCAUCAGAUGUUUCACGCAGAUCCAACACCACACUCUAACUUGAUAAAACACCCCUGUGUUGACAUUUCUGUCUGCUUCCCACAAGGCUCACUUCCCAAAUAAAGCACUGCACUGAAGACUUUGACGAAGGGUCACCUUUCAGGGGUCACAAUGUAAGACACAACUGAAAAAUCCUGCCUGCCAGUGAAAACGACAAAAACAAAAAAGCAGAAUUGGAGAGAAGAUGGGAGAUGUGAUACACAGCGUGGUGGGUUUAAUUCCACGAACGUGGCAAUGCAGAGAGAUUAAAACACAACUUUCAAGACGCAGACAAAUGGUUUGUCUGCAUCCCCACGA